UACGGGGGGAGCAAGCGUUUGUUCGGAUUUACUGGGCGUAAAGGGCGCGUAGGCGGUCGUGACAAGUCACUUGUGAAAUCUCCGGGCUUAACUCGGAACGGUCAAGUGAUACUGUCGGACUAGAGUACAGAAGGGGCAACUGGAAUUCUCGGUGUAGCGGUGAAAUGCGUAGAUAUCGAGAGGAACACCUGCGGCGAAGGCGGGUUGCUGGGCUGAUACUGACGCUGAGGCGCGAAAGCCAGGGGAGCAAACGGG
rnacentral:rRNA from 1 species